ensembl:lncRNA
GCGACGUAGCUGGUGUAGCGACGUAGCUGGUGUAGCGACGUAAGCUGCGCAAAUGUCGAGUAAUAUCUCGAUUUUAAUUGGUCCAUGUUUGAUACGUAACGUUACCUUACUUACCUAUUUACAUCCAAAGGAACAGCAGAGUUGAAGAAUAAAUAAUCGAAGUGCGCAACGUGGGUUUUUCGCUUGUCGUCUGCAACGAAUGGACGGGUGAAAGUGGUCCCACCCCAAACAUUCCAGUACCCCGCCUCAUUCAACUAUAUCCAUCCCUGCGAGCCGGUCCGGCUGCACAGCUCCUAAUGUUCACCAAGGAGGUAAGAAGGUGCGUUGGUGGGUCUGCUGGCUCUGGGUUCUGAUGCGGCCACAGCGGGCUGCUUGCAGAACCGGGUUUUGGUGGGCUGCUCGUUAUGCAAGAGGUUAGUCAUCAUGGUAUGAUUCACCCACUGUUUCACUCUUUUAUUCUCUGUACCCUUUCACCGCUCUUAAACUCUUCAGGGGAACACAAGGGGACAGAAUUAGACACCGGCAUGUUUUCCAUUUCACUGUACUGUCAGUGGUAAAAACAGGUAAAAACAGGAAGCCAGAUAAGUUAAUGAGAGUCCAUUUUUUAGGGAGGCCAUUAGCCUCAGAAGAUGGAAGCCAAAGUCACAAGGUGGAAACUGUCAC